AAAGGGAGCAAUCCUAAGUAAAGUGGCGUACGGGUGAGUAACACGUGGAUCAUCUACCUUUUAGUGGGGAAUACCUCCUGGAAACGGGAGACAAUACCGCAUAAGCUCGUAAGAGGAAAGCCGAAAGGCGCUGAAAGAGGAGUCCGCGGCUGAUUAGCUAGUUGGCGGGGUAACGGCCCACCAAGGCGAAGAUCGGUAGCCGGCCUGAGAGGGCACACGGCCACACUGGCACUGAAACACGGGCCAGACUCCUACGGGAGGCAGCAGUGGGGAAUCUUGCACAAUGGGGGAAACCCUGAUGCAGCGACGCCGCGUGAGCGAUGAAGCCCUUCGGGGUGUAAAGCUCUUUCGACGGGAACGAUAAUGACGGUACCCGAAGAAGAAGCUGCGGCUAACUACGUGCCAGCAGCCGCGGUAAUACGUAGGCAGCAAGCGUUGUUCGGAAUUACUGGGCGUAAAGAGUGCGUAGGCGGUGUUCUAAGUGUGGUGUGAAAUCUCCCGGCUCAACUGGGAGGGUGCGCCGCAGACUGGAAUGCUAGAGUAUGGGAGAGGUAAGCGGAAUUCCUGGUGUAGCGGUGAAAUGCGUAGAUAUCAGGAGGAACACCUGUGGUGUAGACAGCUUACUGGACCAUGACUGACGCUGAGGCACGAAAGCGUGGGUAGCAAACAGGAUUAGAUACCCUGGUAGUCCACGCCCUAAACGAUGCAUACUUGGUGUGAGCCAUUCAUUUGGUUCGUGCCGGAGCUAACGCGUUAAGUAUGCCGCCUGGGGAGUACGGUCGCAAGGCUGAAACUC
rnacentral:rRNA from 1 species